GCCAGCAGCCGCGGUAAGACAAAUGUGGCAAGCGUUGUUCGGAAUCACUGGGCAUAAAGGGCACGUAGGCGGCGUAGUAAGUUAACUGUGAAAUCCCCCGGCUCAACCGGGGAACUGCAGUUAAUACUGCUGUGCUAGAGUGCAGAAGAGGAGAGUGGAAUUCUAGGUGUAGCGGUGGAAUGCGAAGAUAUCUAGGAGAAGGCCGGUGGCGAAAGCGACUCUCUGGUCUGUUACUGACGCUGAGGUGCGAGAGCGCAGGUAGCGAACGGGAUUAGAUACCCCGGUAGUCUGUGCCGUAAACGAUGGGCACUAGAUGGUGGAGGCGCCGAUAGCUUUCUCCGUCGCAGCUAAUACGUUAAGUGCCCCGCCUGGGGAGUAUGGCCGCAAGGUUAAAACUCAAAGGAAUUGACGGGGGCCCACACAAGCGGUGGAGGAUGUGGCUUAAUUCGAGGAUACCCGUAAAACCUUACCGAGGCUUGACAUGCAGGUGGUAGUGAAGUGAAAGCGGAACGACCCGAAUAGGGAGCCUGCACAGGUGCUGCAUGGCUGUCGACAGCUCGUGUCGUGAGAUGUUAGGUUAAGUCCUGUAACGAGCGAAACCCUUGUGCUUAAUUGCCAGCGCGUUAUGGCGGGGACCUUAAGCAGACUGCCCCGGCCAACGGGGAGGAAGGUGGGGAUGACGUCAAGUCAGCAUGGCCUUUAUGCCUCGGGCUGCACACGUCCUACAAUGGGCUGUACAAUGGGGACCCAAACCGCAAGGUGGAGGAAAUCCUAUAAAGCAGUCCUCAGUUCGGAUUGCAGGCUGAAAUUCGCCUGCAUGAAGAUGGAAUCGCUAGUA
rnacentral:rRNA from 1 species